GACGGAGGAUGCAAGUGUUAUCCGGAAUCACUGGGCGUAAAGCGUCUGUAGGUGGUUCGAAAAGUCCACUGUUAAAAAUUGAGGCUUAACUUCAAAGAUGCCGUGGAAACUUUCAAACUAGAGUAUGGUAGGGGUAGAGGGAAUUUCCAGUGGAGCGGUGAAAUGCGUAGAUAUUGGAAAGACCACCGAUGGCGAAGGCACUCUACUGGGCCACUACUGACACUGAGAGACGAAAGCUAGGGGAGCAAAUGGA
rnacentral:rRNA from 1 species